rnacentral:misc_RNA from 1 species
AACGCACAUUGCACCCUCUGGUAUUCCGGGGGGUAUGCCUGUUCGAGCGUCAUUGCAACCCUCAAGCACUGCUUGGUAUUGGAUGCCACCACUGUGGUGCAUCUCAAAUGUAUUGGCGGUGGCAUUUGGCUUCUAGCGUAGUAAUUUUCUCGCUCUGGAGUUUGGGUGUCUUAACUGCUAGAACCUCUAAAUUAUUAAAGGUUGACCUCGGAUCAGGUAGGGAUACCCGCUGAACUUAA